rnacentral:lncRNA from 1 species
CGUACGUCAUCGGUGUCGGCUCCCGCCGGCUGGGCGUCCGGUGGCCGGUGUAGCAGAGCGGGAGCGGCGGGCGGCGAGCAGAGGAGCUAACAGGGGAUUGUGGGAGGACACGGACCUAGACUCCAACAGUGACAGCUCUGAGUAAAGAAGUCGCCGAAGCAGUGGGACACUAGACGCGGGGAAGGCUUCCUGGAGGAAGUGAGGCCUAAACUGAGCCUUGAAGAAUGGUUAAGAGUUUGCUCCAGGAAUAUAUUGCAAAGGCAUUCUUGGCGGAAGGACCCGAGACGUGAAAAAAACAGGCGUAUUCUGGUAAUUUCGAGGAGAUGGAGAAGUAACAGCAUGUGUUUAUCCUGAUGGAAAGACUCCAGUAGAGAGGAAGAGAUUGAUGAUGU